UUACCUAUGCGGCUAUCUCGUGGAGAGAAAGUGGAACGGUUACGUCAUGUCCUAAACAAUCUGAUUGGAUAAAAGACAAGUCACAAAUUAAAUGACUUCUGAUUGGCGAACGCAGUUAGCGAAUCAAAAGUUAGAAAUGCGUUACCUAAUUUGUAUAGACCCUAUAGCUGUCCAAGGUGCGCACCUGUUUAAAAAUAUACAUUUAUUAUUAAUAAAACAUUUUUUUAGUACACGUGUCCACGUCAGUAUUUUAAUAAUAUUAUAUUUUCAUGCUUUUAGUGAAGAAUUGUUUUACUAUCAGUCAUAUUUUAAAACGGGCAGUUUCGAAAUAACCAAAGAAAACAACGAUUCUAAACCGGAACGUGCGUGAAGGAAUCAACUGUAGUUCUCUUUUAUAGCGGUUUAAAAUGUAUCUAAAAGUAUAUACGGGUGUUUGCAAUAAUUUAAUCACAGACGUAGAAAUAUAACCAAGAUUCACGACGACCAAUGUACUGAUAGAGCAGUUGUUUAAAUAAAAGAGCAGCGUCAGUUUUGGAAAUGUCACAUUUUAUAUUUGUGUCAGUUUUUAGUUAAGUAAAUUGGAAAAUUACAAGCGGUGUGUAUUUCAGUAUGCUAACGUGACGUUUUUCAGCAGGUUUCAUUUGAUUUUAUGAAGCAGAAUUAGUUAACACUCAAUUCAACCCCUCGACAGCAGUUCUACAAAAUGUCGACACGAGGGCAGCAUUGGAUAGGAAAUGAAAGCUAAAGCCUCGUCUGUCUCCCUGAAGUUCGCUACCAAUUGUAAUGAGCAGAGGACAGCUCAGCCGGAGGCGUGUGUCUGUGUGAAACGACUUUAUUUCAUGUGAUAAGUUUGUGGAAGAAGGACGCCAUGUGAGGAGGCGUUUGCUCUUGUUUUACACAGACUACGAGGGACAGCGCUCGUUAAACCAGGUCUGUGAGGAUGAGAAGGUCUCCACAGUCUGGAGUCUGGUCUCUGACAGGCUCAACAUACCUGUCAAUCAACAGGGACUCCUCUACAAAAGCAAGGCGCUGGCAGGAUUACGAGCGGAGGCUGCGCUUGUUGAGCCUGGAUGAUAUGGAGCGGCUGGCGACUCACAUGCUUCACCCUGAGGCUGUGGAGUGCAUGGAGCUGUCCUUCCUAGACUGAGGAAUACUGCUGCUGCCCUCUCCACCUCUCCCCUCUCUUCUCCCCUCUCCCCUCUCUCCUCUCCUCUUUACUCUCUCCUCCCCCUCUCCUCUCCUCUCCUUACUUUGUUUAAAAGAAUAGAAGCACACCCAGUGAGCAAGGCAUUGAGCAGCCCCACAUACCGCUUCACAAUACCGCUACAUAUUGACUGACUGUUCGCAUUGUGUGUGUUUGGUAAGACAAACCACAUUUUCUACUUCUACUUUCUACGAUUGGGCAAGUCAGCGGUUGUUUGAUAACAGAACAUAAAACAUCACAGAGUGGGUUGAACUGCAUUGCUGCAAACCAAGGCCCUUUAAAAUGUGUACCUUCCCAGCUCAGGUAUUGCUGAGGUAAAGAGACACUUCCUACAGGAGAACAGGACGUUGUCAAGGAGGGGAUGUCGUCACGUGUCCUGAGGGCUUUCUUAAAAACUUUGUUUUAUUAUUUCUAAGCGCACGUUGUUACUGCCUUUUAGCUCUUGAGCAUAAUAAUCUCAAUCCCGUUUGAAAUGACACUAAGUGCAUUUGCAUGGUGCAGAUGAGGGAUGUCACUUCACUCGAGGCUUGUGUACUGAUGAAGAUGUAGUUUCAGUGUUUAAUGCUCAUCCCCUCAGUGUGUGUCUGUGUGUUCUUGUCUCUUGACAGGUCUGUGAGGAUGAGAAGGUCUCCACAGUCUGCAGUCUGGUCUCUGACAGGCUCAACAUACCUGUCAAUCAACAUGGACUCCUCUACAAAGGCAAGGCGCUGGCAGGUAGGCUGAACAGCACAGCACAGCACAGCACAGCUCACCCCUCCUCUCACUUCUCGCCUCACCCCGGGUCAGUGUGGCACAGCCUGCCUGCUCUUCUGAACAAACACUUCAGCCCUGCCGACGCAGUGA